AUGAACGCUAGCUACAGGCUUAACACAUGCAAGUCGAGGGGCAGCAUUUCAGUUUGCUUGCAAACUGGAGAUGGCGACCGGCGCACGGGUGAGUAACACGUAUCCAACCUGCCGAUAACUCGGGGAUAGCCUUUCGAAAGAAAGAUUAAUACCCGAUGGUAUAAUUAGACCGCAUGGUCUUAUUAUUAAAGAAUUUCGGUUAUCGAUGGGGAUGCGUUCCAUUAGGCAGUUGGUGAGGUAACGGCUCACCAAACCUUCGAUGGAUAGGGGUUCUGAGAGGAAGGUCCCCCACAUUGGAACUGAGACACGGUCCAAACUCCUACGGGAGGCAGCAGUGAGGAAUAUUGGUCAAUGGGCGCAGGCCUGAACCAGCCAAGUAGCGUGAAGGAUGACUGCCCUAUGGGUUGUAAACUUCUUUUAUAUGGGAAUAAAGUUUUCCACGUGUGGAAUUUUGUAUGUACCAUAUGAAUAAGGAUCGGCUAACUCCGUGCCAGCAGCCGCGGUAAUACGGAGGAUCCGAGCGUUAUCCGGAUUUAUUGGGUUUAAAGGGAGCGUAGGUGGACAGUUAAGUCAGUUGUGAAAGUUUGCGGCUCAACCGUAAAAUUGCAGUUGAUACUGGCUGUCUUGAGUACAGUAGAGGUGGGCGGAAUUCGUGGUGUAGCGGUGAAAUGCUUAGAUAUCACGAAGAACUCCGAUUGCGAAGGCAGCUCACUGGACUGCAACUGACACUGAUGCUCGAAAGUGUGGGUAUCAAACAGGAUUAGAUACCCUGGUAGUCCACACAGUAAACGAUGAAUACUCGCUGUUUGCGAUAUACAGUAAGCGGCCAAGCGAAAGCAUUAAGUAUUCCACCUGGGGAGUACGCCGGCAACGGUGAAACUCAAAGGAAUUGACGGGGACCCGCACAAGCGGUGGAGCAUGUGGUUUAAUUCGAAGCAACGCGAAGAACCUUACCUAGACUUGACAUCUCCUGCAUUACUCUUAAUCGAGGAAGUCCCUUCGGGGACAGGAUGACAGGUGGUGCAUGGUUGUCGUCAGCUCGUGUCGUGAGAUGUUGGGUUAAGUCCCGCAACGAGCGCAACCCUUAUCGAUAGUUACCAUCAGGUUAUGCUGGGGACUCUGUCGAGACUGCCGUCGUAAGAUGUGAGGAAGGUGGGGAUGACGUCAAAUCAGCACGGCCCUUACGUCCGGGGCUACACACGUGUUACAAUGGGGGGUACAGAAGGCAGCUACCUGGUGACAGGAUGCUAAUCCCAAAAGCCUCUCUCAGUUCGGAUCGAAGUCUGCAACCCGACUUCGUGAAGCUGGAUUCGCUAGUAAUCGCGCAUCAGCCAUGGCGCGGUGAAUACGUUCCCGGGCCUUGUACACACCGCCCGUCAAGCCAUGAAAGCCGGGGGUACCUGAAGUACGUAACCGCAAGGAGCGUCCUAGGGUAAAACUGGUAAUUGGGGCU
rnacentral:rRNA from 1 species